rnacentral:tRNA from 1 species
AUUCAAAAAGAGUUCUGGAGAAUACUAACUUUGGGAGUUAGAGGGUAGUUGAAUUAACUAUUUUUGAAA